rnacentral:lncRNA from 1 species
CACACCUGUCAGGUUAUCGGCCACGUGGCAACUCAGGCCGGCGUACGGCUAUAUAAAGCGCUGCAACUUUUCGAGUGGCACAGUUUGGAACAGUCAACUGAACAAACCGAAGAUGAAAUUCGUGUCGCUCUUGCUCGCUGUGGCGAUGGCUCUGUCUGCCCUGCUGGGGACAGCACGAGCCAUGCCUGAGCCAGAAGCCCUGGCCGACGCCGACCCUUGGGCUCAUGGCGUAGGCUAUGGAGGCUACGGACGAGGACGUUACUACGGAGGAGGAGGCUAUCGCGGAGGCUAUCGCGGAGGCUAUUAUGGACGCGGCCACGGCUGGUGAGACUCCGAACGAUGACUCCUGCCGAAGCUUCUGCUCUCGCUUUACCUGAAGGACGACGAACCGAUUUCCGAUUUUGCUACAUGAAAAUAAACCAAUUUUAAUUUUA